rnacentral:rRNA from 1 species
AUUGAACGCUGGCGGCAGGCCUAACACAUGCAAGUCGAACGGUAACAGGAAGCAGCUUGCUGCUUUGCUGACGAGUGGCGGACGGGUGAGUCAUGUCUGGGAAACUGCCUGAUGGAGGGGGAUAACUACUGGAAACGGUAGCUACUACCGCAUAACGUCGCAAGACCACAGAGGGGGACCUUAGGGCCUCUUGCCAUCGUAUGUGCCCAGAUGGGAUUAGCUAGUAGGUGGGGUAACGUCUCACCUAGGCGACGAUCCCUACCUGGUCUGAGAGGAUGACCAGCCACACUGGAACUGAGACACGGUCCAGACUCCUACGGGAGGCAGCAGUGGGGAAUAUUGCACAAUGGGCGCAAGCCAGAUGCAGCCAUGCCGCGUGUAUGAAGAAGGACGUCGGGUUGUAAAGUACUUUCAGCGGGGAGGAAGGGAGUAAAGUUAAUACCUUUGCUCAUUGACGUGACCCGCAGAAGAAGCACCGGCUAACUCCGUG